UGACAGAAAUACACAAUUUUAGUCAGGAUGAUUUGAUGACCGAAGAUAUAUUUGUCUUGGAUUGUCACUCAGCAAUCUUUGUCUGGUUGGGACAACAAGUUGACUCCAAGAUGAAAAUGCAUGCUUUAACCAUUGGAGAGCUUUCAGUGAUCACUGAGGAGCGGGAUAAAUAUCAAACUCUUGUCAAUGAGCUGAAGAAGCCGGGAGAAAGAUGAAACUGGGAGUAAAGUGGCAAAUGAGUUGCAGUUGUCUCUUGCCAAGAAGGAAUGCUGUAUCAAAGAAAUGGAGAACAGUUUAAAUGAGCAAAAGGAAGCUAAUAAUCCGCAGCAACAG